rnacentral:rRNA from 1 species
AGAGUUUGAUCAUGGCUCAGAUUGAACGCUGGCGGCAUGCCUUACACAUGCAAGUCGAACGGUAACAGGUCUUCGGAUGCUGACGAGUGGCGAACGGGUGAGUAAUACAUCGGAACGUGCCCGAUCGUGGGGGAUAACGAGGCGAAAGCUUUGCUAAUACCGCAUACGAUCUACGGAUGAAAGCGGGGGAUCUUCGGACCUCGCGCGGACGGAGCGGCCGAUGGCAGAUUAGGUAGUUGGUGGGAUAAAAGCUUACCAAGCCGACGAUCUGUAGCUGGUCUGAGAGGAUGAUCAGCCACACUGGGACUGAGACACGGCCCAGACUCCUACGGGAGGCAGCAGUGGGGAAUUUUGGACAAUGGGCGAAAGCCUGAUCCAGCCAUGCCGCGUGCAGGAUGAAGGCCUUCGGGUUGUAAACUGCUUUUGUACGGAGCGAAAAGCCUCUUUCUAAUAAAGAGGGGUCAUGACGGUACCGUAAGAAUAAGCACCGGCUAACUACGUGCCAGCAGCCGCGGUAAUACGUAGGGUGCAAGCGUUAAUCGGAAUUACUGGGCGUAAAGCGUGCGCAGGCGGUUUUGUAAGACAGAGGUGAAAUCCCCGGGCUCAACCUGGGAACUGCCUUUGUGACUGCAAGGCUGGAGUGCGGCAGAGGGGGAUGGAAUUCCGCGUGUAGCAGUGAAAUGCGUAGAUAUGCGGAGGAACACCGAUGGCGAAGACAAUCCCCUGGGCCUGCACUGACGCUCAUGCACGAAAGCGUGGGGAGCAAACAGGAUUAGAUACCCCGGUAGACCAA